GGGGGAUAUUGCACAAUGGGGGAAACCCUGAUGCAGCGACGCCGCGUGGAGGAAGAAGGUUUUCGGAUUGUAAACUCCUGUCGUUAGGGACGAUAAUGACGGUACCUAACAAGAAAGCACCGGCUAACUACGUGCCAGCAGCCGCGGUAAAACGUAGGGUGCAAGCGUUGUCCGGAAUUACUGGGUGUAAAGGGAGCGCAGGCGGACCGGCAAGUUGGAAGUGAAAACUAUGGGCUCAACCCAUAAAUUGCUUUCAAAACUGCUGGCCUUGAGUAGUGCAGAGGUAGGUGGAAUUCCCGGUGUAGCGGUGGAAUGCGUAGAUAUCGGGAGGAACACCAGUGGCGAAGGCGACCUACUGGGCACCAACUGACGCUGAGGCUCGAAAGCAUGGGUAGCAAACAGGAUUAGAUACCCUGGUAGUCCAUGCCGUAAACGAUGAUUACUAGGUGUUGGAGGAUUGACCCCUUCAGUGCCGCAGUUAACACAAUAAGUAAUCCACCUGGGGAGUACGACCGCAAGGUUGAAACUCAAAGGAAUUGACGGGGGCCCGCACAAGCAGUGGAGUAUGUGGUUUAAUUCGAAGCAACGCGAAGAACCUUACCAGGUCUUGACAUCCGAUGCAUAGUGCAGAGAUGCAUGAAGUCCUUCGGGACAUCGAGACAGGUGGUGCAUGGUUGUCGUCAGCUCGUGUCGUGAGAUGUUGGGUUAAGUCCCGCAACGAGCGCAACCCUUAUUGCCAGUUACUACGCAAGAGGACUCUGGCGAGACUGCCGUUGACAAAACGAAGGAAGGUGGGGAUGACGUCAAAUCAUCAUGCCCUUUAUGACCUGGGCUACACACGUACUACAAUGGCGUUUAACAAAGAGAAGCAAGACCGCGAGGUGGAGCAAAACUCAAAAACAACGUCCCAGUUCGGACUGCAGGCUGCAACUCGCCUGCACGAAGUCGGAAUUGCUAGUAAUCGUGGAUCAGCAUGCCACGGUGAAUACGUUCCCG
rnacentral:rRNA from 1 species